UCAAGUGGUCGGGAUAAUUAUUGGGGCUUAAAGUGUCCGUAGCCGGUUUAGUAAGUUCCUGGUAAAACCGGGCAGCUUAACUGUCCGUAUGCUAGGAAUACUGCUAUGCUAGAGGGCGGGAGAGGUCUGAGGUACUACAGGGGUAGGGGUGAAAUCUUAUAAUCCUUGUAGGACCACCAGUGGCGAAAGCGUCAGACUGGAACGCGCCUGACGGUGAGGGACGAAAGCCAGGGGAGCGAACCGGAUUAGAUACCCGGGUAGUCCUGGCCGUAAACGAUGCAUACUAGGCAAUGGUGCGGCCAUGAGCCGCAUCAGUACCGUAGGGAAACCGUUAAGUGUGCCGCCUGGGAAGUACGGUCGCAAGGCUAAAACUUAAAGGAAUUGGCGGGGGAGCACCACAAGGGGUGAAGCCUGCGGUUCAAUUGGACUCAACGCCGGGAAACUUACCAGGGGAGACAGCAGAAUGACAGUCAGGUUGACGACCUUACUCGACGAGCUGAGAGGAGGUGCAUGGCCGUCGCCAGUUCGUGCUGUGAGGUAUCCUGUUAAGUCAGGCAACGAACGAGAUCCGCGCCUUUAUUUGCCAUCAAGAAGUCACGACUUCGUUGGGAACACUAAAGGGACCGCCGUCGAUAAGACGGAGGAAGGAGCGGGCAAAGGCAGGUCAGUAUGCCCCGAAACCCCUGGGCUACACGCGGGCUGCAAUGGUGCGAACAAUGGGCUGUAACUCCGAAAGGAGAAACCAAUCCCGAAAUCGCAUCUCAGUGGGGAUUGUCGACUGUAACUCGUUGACAUGAACGUGGAAUCCCUAGUAAUCGCGUGUCACCAUCGCGCGGUGAAUACGUCUCUGCUCCUUGCA
rnacentral:rRNA from 1 species